rnacentral:miRNA from 2 species
UAGUACUCCCUCCGUCCCCAA